AUGGAGGUGGAGACACGCUAUGGAUAUGGAGCCUCACUGCUAAUCCUAUGUCUUCACCUGGCCUGGGUGAGCUGCCUGCAGAAGGUGGAGCAGAAUCCUCAGUCCCUGAAGAUCCAGGAAGGAGAAAGCAUCACAAUCAACUGCAGCUACACAGAAACCACUAACCAACAACUGCAGUGGUUCAGGCAGGACCCUGGACAAGGUCUCAUCUCCCUAUUUUACCUAACUUCAGGGGAGAAAGAGAAUGGAAGGUUGAGAUCCAGGUACAGCAUGAAGGAGCGCCACAGCUCCCUGCACAUCAUCAACGCCCAGCCUGGAGACUCAGCCAUCUACCUCUGCGCUGUUAGAGCACAGUGA